ensembl:lncRNA
GGCGGGCGCACAGCCGGGCAGGCCAGGGAGGUUCGGGGCGUGCCCCCUGCAGAACCGGCCUUGAGUCCACCACAGCCUGACCGGGCUCCCUGCCCACAGCCCUCACCCACCUGAGGCCUCCAAGCCUCCCAGAGGAAAUGCAAAUAUUCCCGGAACCAAGGCGAGCAUCCAGCGCAGCCGGUCACCUGACCUUCAGUGAAGGGUGACGGGAGCUCACCAUGACCCCGUGUGAGCGUGCAGGGAGCAUGCGUGUACAGGAAUGGGAGUGUGCACACCUGUGUGCCAGUGUGUGUGUGCCUGUGGCACCACUGGCCCCAGCAGGCCUGGAGAACCAUCCACGGGGCAUGGGACACUCACACGCCUCAGCCAUGCUGCCCAUUGACGUCCGGGCCUGCUGUGUGCAUGAUGCCUGGGGUGGCAGCCCACCAGGAGGAGCCCCGACCUGGGGGGUGCAGCCUCUGCGUUCGGGGGAAUCGAACUGUGUCUCCAGAAAGACGUGCCGAUGGCCCCGGGCUGUGAAUCCUUGCAGACGUGAUCAAGGGUUGCAAACUCCAGGAGGUCCUGAGAACAGGGAAGCCUGGCACGCUGCAGUCCACAGGGUUGCAGAGAGUCGGACACAACAGAGCGACUGAGCAACAACGACAGCGUAAGGGAUUGUGAAGAAGCAAGGACGGCAGACAACGGAGACCGCCUGUGGGCCCAGAGGCUACACUGCCGUCUGGCCCUUCCUGGGACACUGGGGUGGACCCCCUUCCCGGACGCCCCGGGGUGGACCCCCGUCUCCUGCCCGAGGGGCAGGACACUGUCUCUGCCGUGGAGACACGGGUGGUCCCUUAGACCACAGACCAGCAAGGACGGGUGCCUGAGGAGGGCUGGAAUCAGCUGAGGUGGAUACGCCCACAUUCUAGAAAGGGAGGCAGUAACGAGAGAUGUGUGUCUGAAACAAAGACAGCUCGGGGAGAUGUCCUGAGGGGUGAGCAGAAGCUCAGGGCAAACGGUGAGAAGUCAGGCUGGUGAGAGAUUCCCUGGAAACCCCAGAGCUGGAGGGGCCGAGCCCAGGCCAGGUGAGCGCCGGCCGGAAGCCUCUGUCCCCUUUGCUGACGGAACAGGGCUGCUGUGAGCGCCUCCCCCGCGCCUGGCCGCGAACACCACGAGGGCGAUUGUCCCCCGAAGCCCAGACCCUGGCUCAGCAGGGCUGCUUCCAGCCGAGGCUUGAAGGGCCGCUCUGCGCCCUCUCCUCGGUGUGUGUGUGGCCGUCUCCUCCCUGCGGCCUCCUCACCCUCCCUGGGCCUGUGUUCAAGUUUCCUGUCUGUGAAGGGACACCGCCAUGCCGGGUAGGGUCACCCAAGACCUGAGGGGAGCUUCCCUGGGGGCUCAGCAGUUAGGCCCCCGCCUGCAGUGCGGGAGACAUAGGUUCAAUCCCCGGGUCAGGAAGAUCCCCUGGAGAAGGGAAUGGCAGCCCACUGCAGUGUUCUUGCCUGGAGAAUCCCACAGACAGGGGAGCCUGGAGGGCUACAGAGGUGCAAAGGGGUUGCAAAGAGUCAGACUUGACUUGGCCACUGACAAACCACAGACCUGAGCACCCUAAGGGCUCAGGACCCCUGAUCACCCCAUGAAGACCUGUCUCCAGAU